rnacentral:rRNA from 1 species
ACAGCAGCCGCCACGGUAAUACGUAGGUGGCAAGCGUUGUCCGGAAUUAUUGGGCGUAAAGAGCUCGCAGGCGGUUUCUUAAGUCUGAUGUGAAAGCCCUGGGCUCAACCUAGGAAUUGCAUUUGAUACUGUUUGGCUUGAGUUCGGGAGAGGUGAGUGGAAUUCCCAGUGUAGAGGUGAAAUUCGUAGAUAUUGGGAAGAACACCAGUGGCGAAGGCGGCUCACUGGACCGACACUGACGCUCAGGUACGAAAGCGUGGGGAGCAAACAGGAUUAGAUACCCCUGUAGUCCCUGUCUCUUAUAC